GACGAACGCUGGCGGCGUGCUUAACACAUGCAAGUCGAACGCUGAAGCUCAGCUUUUGUUGGGUGGAUGAGUGGCGAACGGGUGAGUAACACGUGAGUAACCUGCCCCCUUCUUUGGGAUAACGCCCGGAAACGGGUGCUAAUACUGGAUAUUCACUGGUCUUCGCAUGGGGGUUGGUGGAAAGGGUUUUUCUGGUGGGGGAUGGGCUCGCGGCCUAUCAGCUUGUUGGUGGGGUGAUGGCCUACCAAGGCUUUGACGGGUAGCCGGCCUGAGAGGGUGACCGGUAACAGUGGGACUGAGAUACGGCCCAGACUCCUACGGGGGGCAGCAGUGGGGAAUAUUGCACAAUGGGCGCAAGACUGAUGCAGCGACGCCGCGUGAGGGAUGGAGGCCUUCGGGUUGUGAACCUCUUUCGCUCAUGGUCAAGCCGCAACAAUGGUUGUGGUGAGGGUAGUGGGUAAAGAAGCGCCGGCUAACUACGUG
rnacentral:rRNA from 1 species